UGCAGCUGCUGUAGGCUCAUUGAUCAUGCUAAUGAUGUUGAGUCCAGCAAUGGCUCCGGCAUCCUUUGUCGCUUGACGUUGUGAAUUGUUAAAGUAAGCCGGAAUCGUUAUCACUGCAUCUUUUACAACUUUUCCAAGGAGACAACUAUCUUUGGUGUGUCGGCUGGGCCUUCUAUGACCUUAAAAGGCCACGAUUUCAUGUCAUCCUGCACUUUGGAAUCACUGAACGUCCUUCCAAUCAACCUCUUAGCAUCUGAACAUACAAAGUUAAUUAAUCAAGUCAUUAGCAAAGUGAAAUUAUGGAAAUCAAUUACUAUAUCAGAUUUUAAGUCCCUAUAUAAACCGGCCAUCUAGGGGUAGAUUUCUUUGUUGAUAUUUAAAUGACAAAAUAUAUUAUGUAUAGUAGACGAAUAUGCAGAGAGAGAGAGAGAGAGAGAGAGAGAGAGAGAGAGAGAGAGAGAGAGAGAGAGAGAGAGAGAGAGAGAGAGAGAGAGAGAGAGAGAGAGAGAGAGAGAGAGAGAGAGAGAGAGAGAGAGAGAGAGAGAGAGAUCCCAGUCCACGACAGAAUGAAAAUAUACUAUAUAUAAUUACGCUCACAUGCAGUAAAUUAAUGUAAUUAAGACUUUCCACCAUUCUCAACCAAAAAAGCAAUCUAGUAUUUAAAAAACCCUUGAUGAACUUUAUAAUGGAACAAUGGGGUAGGUAAUUAACGUUGCUUCAAAACUCAAAAGAUUAGUUUAUAACUUAACAUGGAUCAAAGACUUCGGUGGACUUAAAGAUAUUAGAUUCCACUGUUGAUGAUUCUGAUCUAGCGGACUGUUCUUAAAUAUAGAAUUUCCUUAAUCAGAAUAAUAUAACAACAUUCAAUAAAAACAUUUAAAAAAAAAAAAAAAAAAAAAA